rnacentral:rRNA from 1 species
ACGAAGGAUGCGAGCGUUAUCCGGAUUUAUUGGGUUUAAAGGGUGCGUAGGCGGCUUUGUAAGUCAGUGGUGAAAUAUGGCAGCUCAACUGUCAGGGUGCCAUUGAUACUGCAGAGCUUGAGUACAGAUGAGGUAGGCGGAAUUGACGGUGUAGCGGUGAAAUGCUUAGAUAUCGUCAAGAACACCGAUAGCGAAGGCAGCUUACUAGGCUGUAACUGACGCUGAGGCACGAAAGUGUGGGGAUCAAACAGGA